GAAGAAGAAGGCUAUGGCGGAACUCCCACAGAGGCCAGCAGGUGGAUGAGGAGAGACCCGAGGCGGCCGCCGGUCUGAGUGUCAGGUGAACUGAACUUCAGGACAGUUAGCAUGCAGUCUGGAGCAGCCAGGGAUCGACCCAAAAACCAUCUGAUUAGUAGAUGACCUGCUCCACCUCCUGAGCCACAGCCGCCCCUUUUAGAGGUAAAGAAUCAAUUAGAAAGAGCUGGCGUCAUGUUGUGGAAGCUGCCAUCUUGCCCCCACCAUCAUACGCUGGCUGAGAUGGGCAUCGCUGCUCCGCCUUUUCAUGUUUUAUGCAUUACGCUGACGGACGGAUGGAUGGACAAUGAAUGCUUUCUCGUCCUUCUUGUCAUGCACCAUGGAAGUGUCUGAGGGGCUUUUCCACUUGGAAUCGGGAUACUGUGUCCACACUUCAGAGGUGGAGUUUCCAGCAUCUCACCUGGGCCUCAUCUGCAAACAAUCAGCAGGAGGGCUUCUUAAACCAGCGCUGCCUGCUACUCCUCGCCAGUUUGUUCUGCCAUCUCCAGUGCUUCUCCAGUGGGACUGAAGCCAUCCAUCCCACCAGCCAGCGGCCCUUCGGGUGAGAGGAAGGGCCCCGUCGUCAUGGCGCCUGUCAACGUGGAGCCAGCCGGGCGAGUUUGUCCUAGAAAGCUUAUUUGCCAUCUUCACCUUGCUCUCUGAACGCAAGAGCUGUAUCAUCAUGGCUGAACCACUGGAGAAGCCGCUAAACAAAUCUCUGCAGAGGAGAAGAGCCACAGUUUGACCAGCUGAUCAGCUCUAUGAGUUCUCUUGCUGGGUACUGCCUGCCAUCCAUCCUGAAGACUCUGUUCGACUGGUACAAGAGGCAAAAUGGCCUGGAGGACGAGUCCCAUGAACAUCGACCCGGGGCCAAGUCAAAAAAGAGUCUCUGUUCUCCUCCUGACCUACCUGACUCUGGAGUAGUUCCUCGUCAUCGUUUUCCCUUUUAGCAAUUUGCGCCCAGGCAAACUUCAGACAGGGGUAAGUUGCACUAGUCAUAAUAAUGUGCCUGAUGAAGGUCAUCCAACUGUUGUCUUUGUCCACAAACUAAUUAUCGCUCUUAUUUUGAAGAAAGACUGGGUUUGUGCUGCUGGAAUAUCAUCUUUAGGUUGGUGUUUAAGUGGAUCAGAAAGUGUGGAACAACCUUUAAGACUUCAGUGAGAGAAUUUGUUUUUAAAGCACAAAUAAAAACAACACAUGUUCAAGUUACAUCAACCCAACAAAACCCUCCUCUGGCAUUAACAUCAGCACACAAACUGUUAGCUGCGAGCUUCAUGCCUCCAGUAGGUGUAAAGUGCGGGUGGCUCAUUUUAGUCCACUAGUAAUCUUAGCUGUAAGGGAAAACAGUUUGUGUGGAGAACAAAAGAGUGAUAUCCUUUGUUCUAUUGGUAUGAUAUGAGGUAUAAAGUAACCCCUGAAUAUCACCAGAAGUCCCCAAAAUACUGACCAUUUCCAGAUUUGCAAAUUGCAAAUCCAAACAAUGCAAAAUUGUUCAUUAUCACAAAAUAUACAAAGUGUAAAGUACAAAAACUACGCAGUACAAAUCUGUGAAGCAGAACUGUCGGCUUGCACACUUUUCCUCAGUUCAAAACUGCUUAAAUACUGUUUAAUACUGUAUGAACUGCAUA